rfam:Caprimulgus carolinensis contig60665, whole genome shotgun sequence.
CCAACGGCUCUUUUAAGAGCCACCCACGUGUCCUUGAAAAGAGCUG